AUUGAACGCUGGCGGCAGGCCUAACACAUGCAAGUCGAACGAGUGGCGGACGGGUGAGUAAUGUCUGGGAAACUGCCUGAUGGAGGGGGAUAAAUACUGGAAACGGUAGCUAAUACCGCAUACCAUCGGAUGUGCCCAGACGGGAUUAGCUAGUAGGUGGGUUAAAGGCUCACCAAGGAGACGAUCCCUAGCUGGUCUGCUAGGAUGACCAGCCACACUGGAACUGAGACACUGUCCAGACUCCUACGGGAGGCAGCAGUGGUGAAUAUUGCACAAUGGGCGCAAGCCUGAUGCAGCCACGCCGCGUGAAUGAAGAAGGCCUUCGGGUUGUAAAGUACUUUCAUCGGGGAGGCGUUACCCGCAGAAGAAGCACCGGCUAACUCCGUGCCAGCAGCCGCGGUAAUAC
rnacentral:rRNA from 1 species